rnacentral:rRNA from 1 species
GACGUAGGGCGCGAGCGUUGUCCGGAUUUAUUGGGCGUAAAGAGCUCGUAGGCGGCUUGUCGCGUCGUCCGUGAAAACCCACAGCUCAACUGUGGGCUUGCGGUCGAUACGGGCAGGCUAGAGUUCGGUAGGGGAGACUGGAAUUCCUGGUGUAGCGGCGAAAUGCGCAGAUAUCAGGAGGAACACCGGUGGCGAAGGCGGGUCUCUGGGCCGAUAUUGACGCUGAGGAGCGAAAGCGUGGGGAGCGAACAGG